GCUUCGCGGGUAAAUCAAGAAAGAGGGUUCGCCCUCGGAUCUUCUUGACUGGUGCGCUCUUCCUUCCCCCCUUUCUCUUUCUGAUUCUCUUGGCAUUGGCUCCAAGAAGAUCGUUCUCGUGCGUGGGGCCUGUUGUUUGAGUCAUGCCUGCCUGCAGUCGUGUAAGAGCAAGGAAAGGAAUGAAGCGAGAGGAUGCAGGCGAACCUAGGUUCAGGCGGAGGCAGAGUCGGUGGAACGCGACGAGCUUUUCCGGCUUCGGAGACCCCUUUGCUGGGUUUGCGAAUCGGAGGAACCUAAUGUGGAAUCUCUCGCAGCAGACGAGGGGCUUUGCAAGAUCGUCUGAUCGGCAGCCUUAAACCUUCUCUCGCAUCAGAUGAACCCCUUUCGCCUCCUUUGGCAGUCAUCGGAGGGUCUGAUUUUCAAGUAUUGUUCGUUUCUCCAUUCUUUCCUUCAUACCCAAACCACUGUCCAUUUCAUAAACUUUCCUCUUCUUGUCCAUCACGUUUCCGUCCUAUUCAUCUUGUUUAGCAUUUUUUUUCUCUCUCGUUCCUUCUUCAUCGAUUUCAGUCUAGAACCGCGUCUCUUCAGAGCACGAAUUUUCUUGCGGACGAAACAUUUUGCUCGAUCCUCUCACUACAAGAAAACUGGGCGAUGCCCACGGUCGUCGCCCAUGGAUAUGACCGCUGGAUUCUGGACACUGGCGAGGACUGGAGGGGUCCAUUUCGAGGGGAAUAUCACUCGGAUCAUCAUCGUUUCCUGCAUCAUGGCUGCCACUGGCGGGUUAAUGUUCGGAUACGACGUUGGGAUUUCAGGUGUUUUUCUUAGUCGUUAUGGUCUACUUCCUAGACGUGUUCAUCACCAAAAAUCUGCUGUUAGGAGAUCUGGGAUCUCGUCAGUUGCAACAAACAGCAAUGCCCCUUUCUCUUGAUUGCCCAGGUAAACCUAAUACUUGUGAACAUCAUCUAGAUGGGCACAUAUAUGAUGUUGUGCUAGUUGCUAUUGGAAACUCAGAUGUGGAUGUGAGCGUUUAUCGUGGAAAAGAAAUCAAAUGCGUGUCUGAUUUGUGGGCAUGGAGAAGCAGUUCAGUUGUGGGUCUGGUUGUAAGCUUUGUGGAUGUUGUUGAAAGGUGAAAUGUUUAAAACUGUUUUUUUGUGGAAAUAUUCAGAUAAUAUAUAAAGUCUGGUCACUGUCUAUAUGUUUUGAAUUUGUCGAUGAUUGCUGUGAAGUCGUUGAAGUCUGACUUGUAUGAAGUAGUUUGGAUCUGAUUUUAAAAAAAAAAAAAAAAUUCAUGAUCAUAUAUGAAGCUGUGCAAUUGCUGGUUAUAUUUGAACAUUGAAGUAAUAGAAUAACUUUAUUGAUCUUUCUAUUUCUUUAUAAGGUUAGAUUAGUUAGUUACAUAUAGGUUUUGAGCAUAGUUAGUUACAUGUAGCAUUGACAUACAUCAUGUUUCUAGGCUCACUUUUCUUGUUUGCAUGAUUUGUUAUGUUGAUUGUGCGAAAUGAAGGAUCAAGUGCACAUGUAAGGGCUAUUUUUUUUAUUUUUUUGUUUUAUUGAAGUUUGUUUAUAUGUUUUUGGUUAUUUCUGAGUGCUUGCAUACUUUAGAGUAAAUUCUGCAUCUUCAGCCUGUGAAGAAACAAAAAAGAAGUGAUCUAGUUUUCAACCUGUAUAAUUCUGUUCUUCAGCAUAAUUUUGUUUGAGAUUUAAAAUUCGUUUAAAAACAUUAAAUCUAGUUGAAAAGUUCUAAUUUUUGGUCUGGGCAUGUUUUAACUUGUCUUACACAAAGACCUAAGGCUCCUUCUGGAAAAUCUGUUUGGAAGAGACUCAUUUUGACCUGUUGGUUUCAAACUGUCAAUUUGAACCACACUUAAUUCAGAUGUUACCAUCAUUUUAUGUGUUGUCUUACUAAGUUCCGUAUAAGCACCUUGAUGAGUUAUUUGACAUUUGUUCCAUCAUUCAGACAAACAAUUUUUUAGGGGAGACCCUCAAGAUCAUCAUGUUCCCAAUUUUUCUAGUUUGAAAAACCCUUGCAUUAUAGACUGUUUUUAGUUUACAAUAUUCACAACUUUCACAAGUUUUGUAAAUUUGGACAUUUUAUAAGUAAAAUUAUAUCUUAUAAGAAUUUUAAUUUUUCAUUUUUCUUCAAAUUUUGUAAAUGCAGUUUAAAACUCAUAAAUCUUUGCACUUUUGAGAGACUUUGAUAGUUUGGCUUUUCUAAGCUCACAUUUUCUGCAAGUAGAAUUCUUUGCACUAUUUGAAAGAUUGCUAAACAUUAUAACAAAUAUAUUUUUGUUUUACAAAUUUUUUUACAUGUUCUAUGAGGCUUCCUUCGUUUUGCAAAACAGGUUGUAAUUCCCCUUCACCAGAUAAAAUCAAUCAGUGCUUCAUAUACACAGUGUAAUUAUGUUAAAUAUUUGAUUAUUGGUUUAGAAAUAGUAACUAUAAUUGCAAUAUUUAUUAUAUGCCUUAAAUUUUAUACUUGCUAUUUUGAUUAAUUCGUUUAGGAGGGCGCUCCUCCAGCAGGGGCUGUUUUGGAAAGAAAGAAUGUUUUUCUUACCAAACGCCCCUUAACUGGAGGAAGUGAUGGCACAGCCUUAUUUAUUCUGGGUUUUCUAUGCAAUAUUUUGGCUCAAAGAGGAUAAGAAUGAGUGACACAACCAGGAAAUCUCGGCAUACGAAUUCAUGCAACUACAUGUGAAACACAGCAUCAGGAAUGCCUUAGCUGUGGGCGAUCACACUCUGCAAGUACCUCUCAACAUUGUCUAGCUGGCAGAGUUCUUUAAUGUAGUCCAUGGUAGCAGGAGUAUCCAUCCUAAAUGCUGAAAGUCCUCUCAGAAUUACUCAGGUACGCAUUAUAUGGGCUGACACAACCGCAUGUGAUUUCGAUGUUCCCGCAACCCAAUCCGCGUGCCCAUGGAAAAAGGAUGGCUUAGACGUCGGUGCUCUUGCCAGCAUCUUCAGAA